rnacentral:rRNA from 1 species
UUGGAGGGCAAGUCUGGUGCCAGCAGCCGCGGUAAUUCCAGCUCCAAUAGCGUAUAUUAAAGUUGUUGCAGUUAAAAAGCUCGUAGUUGAAUUUCGGGGUUCAUACGUUGGUCGGGCUUUUUGGUCUGUACUAGCGUAAUGGAUUCCUACCUUCUGAAUAACCGGCAUGCCAUUAAUUUGGUGCGUCGGGGAAGCAGGACUGUUACCUUGAAAAAAUUAGAGUGCUUAAAGCAGGCUAUCGCCUGAAUACAUUAGCAUGGAAUAAUGAAAUAGGACGGCAUGGUUCUAUUUUGUUGGUUUCUAGGAUCACCGUAAUGAUUAAUAGGGAUAGUUGGGGGCAUUAGUAUUCAAUUGUCAGAGGUGAAAUUCUUGGAUCUAUUGAAGACUAACUUCUGCGAAAGCAUUUGCCAAGGAUGUUUUCAUUAAUCAAGAACGAAAGUUAGGGGAUCGAAGACGAUCAGAUACCGUCGUAGUCUUAACCAUAAACUAUGCCGACUAGGAAUCGGACGAUGUUAAUUUUUUAAUGACUCGUUCGGCGCCUUACGGGAAAC